AUCCAGCUGACGAGUCCGAAAUAGAACAAAACGGGGGUUCUGGAU
rfam:Schistosoma rodhaini strain Burundi genome assembly, scaffold: SROB_scaffold0008555